GCCCACUGUGCUCACUUGGGCAGCACAUGGAAUAAUACAGAGACAAGUAGUGUGGCCCGUGUGCAAGGAUGACACAGCAACGCGGGAAACAUCCUGUAUUUUU
ensembl:snRNA U6 U6 spliceosomal RNA